CUGCCGGAGAAGCCCGAGUGUGGUUGCUGAGCUGUCACCCUCCUGUGUCAUGUCUUGUGUAUCUACCCGAGGAAUUGGGGCGACUGGGGUGGGGUGUCGACUACAAGGAGCUCUGAAGUCUGCAGGGCGAGGGUAGGAGUCAGGAGGUAAAUAUUCUUGGAACCAGAUGAUAAAUUUAAGGCUACUUCCAACCCAAACCAUUCCGUGAUUCUUGCUUCACUCUUGCCCUGGGUCCAGUCUUUACACUUUGGACUGUCAGAGCACAAUGACCUCUUCAAAAAUUACCUUCCAUCCUCCCAUCUCCUUAGGCUUAGAGUAGUUAUUGUUCCAAGAAUUUGAUACACCCUGUCUAGUUGUUCUUGACACCAGAAGAAUUAAUGCUUCCGUCACACCCAUCCCUUUGUUAAAGUACAUGGUGGGGAAACUCAAAAUGAAAACUCAAACCGACAAGACAGUGACCACAGAAGGUCCCAGGUUGGAUUGCCAGAUCCGAUAGUGAAAUCAGAUGAAACAUCAACUGCUGUUUCUCCUGACCUUUGCCAGCUGGCAUUGGGAAAGGUCCAUGUUUCUGGCAAGUUACAUCCCAAGGGGGCUAUUGGUUGAGCUUUACUGCUUGUAUAAUGCUGAAAUCAGUGUAUUCAUGCCAAAUGAGGCCUUGAUUUGUGUCAGAUGCUGUCCAAAGGCAGGUGAGGGCGUGUUUCCUGUGUUAGCUUUAAAAUUGGAGCUUUUUCCUGCUGAUCCAACCCCUCAUUGCUCUCUUGGAAACUGUAAAUAUUUGGUAAUUUAUUGGCACAACCUUCCAGGCCUUGAAUGCUUACGCAGCCUUCUCCUGCCACAGCGACCGAGCCAAGGGGGCAUGCACAAACAAGGGAAGUCUGGGUGCCCUGGGACACUUGUUUGGACCCUGCUUUGUUCUCCUGAGCUAUGUAUUAAAAGAAGUAAAGUCCUAGUAAGUCCUUAGUGACCCUUAGUAACUACCAACUGUUAAACUGGUGAGAAUCAGCUCAUUAUGGUCAGGAGGAAUCUGGUUUGCCUUUGCAGGUUGCUCAGGCUUCAUAUGAGCCAGAAGGAAAACAAAAUCUGAGGCUCAGAGUAGUUGAAAGAAAGCAGGAUUAAAAUAGCCUGGGAGGGAAGGAGGGGGUGAGGGAGUUUGGUGCCGGCAACUGCAAGUGCUCCUUGUUUCUGUGUUCUUUCCUCUGCCCUUUUGCUCUCUCAGCUGACUGGUCUGCAGAGCUCAGCCAGGAGGAGGGGAAGGAGGAGGAGGAGGAGGCCUGGCAGCCCACACAGUUGCUUUGGGUUAGGGCUGGAAUUGCUCAGUUGGAGAAAGUAAAUACAGCUUGUUUUUGUCUUCAAAUCAUUACACAACAGGGGCAGGAAGCGAUUGUUUACGAUGCAGUUGGAGAGGGCUGAUGGAAAACAUCAGCAGUGAUGCUGUAUCCUCAGAAGGGCUUGAUUUUUAGGGCUUUAAAACUCUACUGAAGUGGAGUAGUUCUAAAAACAACCAGACAAAAGGCAGAGUCAGGAAUGUAGCUGUUUACAAAAGGCGCCCAGGCUCCAGGUUCACAGCAAGUGGCUUGCUUAGGUCUUGGUCUGCCACCCCAUGCUGAAGAUUCUACUUUCCUCAGUGCAUGUUUCCCCCCUUUUUGUAUUUUUGAGGUUUCUUUUUCCAUUAUUUUCUUCUGCUUGUUCAUCUGCUUUGCCUUGGGUAUAUUCUGAAUAAAAUUCAUCAUUGUCGCGGAUGUGAAAAAGGGACUGGCUGGGAAACGCCAGGGCUUUGAGCCAAGGCGUGUUGAGGGCACCGAGUGCUGACUUCUCCCGUGAUUUGGAGUGCUGUUAGUGGUGACAGGGUGAUGCUCUGUGACUUGGUCCUGUCUUUGGCACGUCUGCAGCAGAGCAUCUUUGGUCUGGGUGCCUGGGGGUAAAAUCCGAUAGUAACUCUCUGCAUUCAUGUGCUGAGCCUGGCUGUAGUCACCGAGGUGGUUAUCUUCUGUGUAGUCAGAUCCUUUGUAGGAGCCCAAAACAAUUCCCAGAACAAAGCUGUGGUUUGUGUCAGAGGAACAGGGUGUCCUGGCUGCAGCGAGCAUGCGGCAGCCUGACAACACCAUUGUGCUUCCUGUAAAGACAUGAGUCCUCGGGAGCGUUGGGCAGUGCUCGCGCCUCCCACUGCUCUUGAAGGGGUUGUUUUGAAUUGGCUGCUCCCUGUUGCAAGGCUGACAAGAGGCUUCAAGCUUUGUUUUCAACACAGUGCACAACCAGUGUGGUGGCAGCCAUGGACCUUAAACCUAAACCAGUUGGCUCACUUAGCGUCAGCUGGCCUCGUGCCCCAGCAUCCUGCUGAAAUGGAGGCACUUGCAGUGAGACACAUACGCUGUGUCCUGUUGGUCAGCUGGAGCCCCUGGCUAGGUGACAAACUUAGAGGUUUAACCUUAGCCUCUCUGGGCUGAGUAUUCCCACCCAGGCUCAGCCCUCUGGGAGAUCUGCCUUUAGUUCUGGGAAGCCACCUUUCUGCAGAGGAAAGGCAGCAAUAGAUGGCAGUGUGUGGAGCUGAAUUCCCUCUCCUCUUGGCUCAGGAAAAGAGUGUUGCCUUCUCUGGGGACUCACCUUGGUGUAACCCAUGUUUAUAUCAGUUGGAAGACCAGCACUGGAUGAGUUGUCUUGUCUCACACACCAUCCUGUGCUUGUCGUAACAGUUUUGCUUGGUGGUUUGGAAAAGUGUCCUGAUGUGAGGUUGGUUAAUCAGUUUGUCAUCAGGUUCUGUGCUUGCAGUAGUCAUGCUCUAGCAGUUGUGCUUUAAGACCUGGGCUUCCUUGAAGUGAGGCUGCUCCUGCGAGUUGAUGCUUAGCUGCCUGUCUUGUAUUAAUUACUGAGAACAUUGUGUGACGUGUUUUGAUGUGGGGUUAAUUAUCAGUGUUGAAGAAAAUACUGGUACAAGAAGAACUGAACAAACAUCCAGAGCUAAUGCCAGCUAGACAUUCAGACCACAAAUACUGUGUUUUUUUAAUUAUUAUUCUUUUAUAUAACAAACCUGACUGGCAGCCAGGGUAAUAAAACCUGUGUGUCCUUUGCUUGUUACUUAAUUCUUUCUUCACUACAAGAACUUCAGAUAUCCCUUUGAGCCAGGAGGGUGGAGACUGAUGAAUCUGGAGUCUUGCUGCCUGUCAUAAAGUAGCUAUGAGCCACAGACAAGUCAUCUCCAUUGGCUUCUGUGUUCCUUCCUUGGCCAGACCCAGAGUCCCUCGGGAGGUGUCACCCUGUUUGGGUGACGUUCUGUGGUUGACCUGCAGUGCAUAAAGAUUCUUGACUCUGUGGUCUUGCAGUUGUUUGUUGCCUUUUGUCUUCAGAAGGCAGUUCAGAAAUAGGCUGUGGAAUAAAAUGAAGGAAUAAGUUCAACACUCUUGUGUCUGGCACAUCUCCCCAAAUAGACCUGGCAAAUGUGUGCAUGUCCAGGCCUGUUUGUGCAGAAAUAGCAAUGUCCUGGGCUGUGCGAACUGUCUUUGUGCAUGCACAUGUGUUCUGCGUUAAAACACAGUUCUGUCAGGAGUGCCACUUCUUUGAGCAGUCUGAAGUGUUGUGAGAAGUUCUGAGAAAUUUGAGUGCAUCUCUCCCGUCUUGGAGGCUUGUAAUUGCAAAGGUUGUCCAGACGGAAGAAAAGGUCAACCAAAGCUAGAGGGAAGCCCUCACAGAGGAGAGUCUCCUGAGGCUCAUGCAGAGGGAACUUGCUGUUAUUUUUCCAAGGCUAGUGAACUGUGAUUAAGCACUGAGCAAAAAAAAACCCGUUCCUUAUCUGGAACUCUGAUGAAAGUACUCAGUGUGCCACCCAAACAUGGCACAGAAGGUAUUGCCCAUUUGCCUCCCAUGCUCAGGAGGUGUAGUGAGUCGGAAGCCCUGUUUAAAGCUGUUUGAAUGCUGGAGGUCCACUGCUCAUCCUGCGUGGCACCUGGCAGGGGUGACGUGGUACUGUGCAUCCAGAGAACAAGUGUCUUGACAUGAAUUUAGACUUUAUGGUUGUUGUGUGGCUCUGCUUGGUCACGAGCUGAGCCCUUUUCAUGGAUUUGCCAGAUACAAAUACUCAUUCCUGGAGUCAGGCUCAAUCAUAUUCAGAUAUAGUUUGAAACUGGGAAAAAAAAAAAGGUGGUUCCUAUUUGUGUUUUAAAAUCCAUUGUCAAGCUGUACUCUGCAGCCAGGAAGAUUGGGAUACACAAAGGAACAAGACUGCUGAGAUCCUUCUCCACUCACAGGGCUCUAGGAGCUGGGCAUUCAGAAAUCCUGCCAGACAUUAAACAUUUUAUAAUGAAGUUGUAACAAUGAAAUGGAUAGUCCUGCAGACCUCAUCACUUGCUCCACGUUCAUGUUGGUAAUACCUUCCUGUGACAGUAGAGCACCAGGCUCUACCUACACCACGUUGCAGAGACAUGCUUUGUAUCAGACAUGAAGUUCAAACCAGUGCAGUUUUGGUCCCAGGUCAUUCAUUGUGUCCAGAGCAGACAGAAGAAGUAAAAUACAACCAACGAUCAGAAUCACUCUCAGGUUUCUGCAUUGCUGCUGUCCUGUGUACCCUGACAACACCCUUUUCUUAGCAGCAAGGACAGCUUUCCCAGGACACAGCUGGCCUCCCGAGCUGUGUCCUCCUUUCCUGGAUGUGGAGUCUCCUCUUGCUCCUCCUGCAGUGCCACAGGCCUGUGAACCAGCCCUCCAGCACUGGGCAAGGACAGUUGCCAGCUCAUCCCAGACAUACCUGAUUUCAAGCCAUCCAGUCCAUGCUCAACUGGUAGCAGGUCGAUGACGUUUCCAGGUGGUGUUUUUUCUUCAUGGUGUUUUCUUAACAGCAUUCCUGUUGGUCACAGACAACAGGGCUGGUUGUAGAGUCCAUCCACUGCCCCAGGGCAGUACUAGUGUUUGUCCAGUGUCUCCUGAAAAAUGCUGUCCAUCACACAACUGCAUUGCUGGAGAACUUGCCAUGUGUUUUCCUUCUGUUCCACCCUCUGUACUUUUUUGUCUGAUUAAACUCUUUUGCACCCAAGGCUGUCCUUGUGUCCUGUCUCUGCACGGCACCCAGCACAGCUCUCUCCCAUAGCAUGUGUUCCUGGGCACUGCUGAUAAAAAAAGGUUCAUGUUUCGAAAGUCUGGCUUAAAAUUUUCUACUGUUCUUAACUGCCAUAACCAGCUCAUCCCUUAUUGCCAUGGGAUACAUGGUGUGCCCACGUCUUUGGGAGAACAGCUUGGGAAGGACCUCAGUUAAGAAAAACAGCUGAGAUUCUGGUGUUUUGGGCAAUUUGCAAGCUUUGCUGUGGGUACUUAACAGUUGAAACAGCAGUUGGAGAAGAAACAGGCAAUUUCUGUGGCAUAUGCAAUGCUACAAAAAUACUCCUGUCUUUCAAUAGGCCCCAGCAGUGAUUUUUUGCUAGGAAUAACUAAUGGAAAGGGUGUGUUUUUUAUCUUGCUGCCAUCUUGAGCUCUCGCAUCCUGGCAGUGGGGAGAAGCCUGGCCUAACCUCACAGCAGAAGUGGAUCAGGCACAGGGCUGUUCCCUCUGUUUGCAGGUCAGGGAUCUUGCCUCAGCUACUUUGUCCCAUCCUGCUUGGAGGCCCUGAGCUGCUGAAAUCAGGUGUUUAGCAAGGAGGGGCCAGAGAAAAAAGUGCAAAUAGGGACUGGGUUGUAUAAACAGUUCUGGUUCCUUUUACAUAUAGGCUUACGAUUAACUGUGGCCAGGUGCUGCAGGAAAGGGGAAAGUCUUAACCUCAAAUAGCACAGCUAUAAUUUAGAAGCUGCAGGAGAAGAACAAGGCUUGUAAAGUCAGAGCUGUCAUGUAUGAAAUGCAAGUGUGCAGACACUGCUAAUUACAGGGUGGAGGAAGCGACCUGCUUGAAAUGCUGUACGUGGCAUGAGCCUGGGUGCCAGGCUGGCAUCUCCACCAUGUCUCUCUGAAGACCCCUUUAAUGGUUUUCUCUUUAUUCCUAUGACUUAGAUUAGACUACAGAUACAUGAAAUUAAAGGUGGUAUUUAUAGCCAUUCUUUGCUGUGUGAUGUUGAAGAUGCUGACAUGAGACAAAGGAUCAACCUCUAGCUCCCACUCUCAGCUGAGGAGGUUGUGGGUGACCAUCACCUACUUCUUGCAGGAGAUCUAUAGCACCUGAACUGUGGUGUGCACAGAAAUAACCCUUGUGCAGUGUUUGAGGCAGGACAGAUUGAUUCCCAAGCCUGUUUGGUUGGACCUCCAAGGCUAGGAUGGGACUGAAUGUGCUCUUUAGCAGAGCUUCCGAUGGCCUGGAAACUUCUGCCUGGAUCUUGGGGCACCUGAACAGCUUAGGUGGGGUUGAUCCCAACUGCCUUCAUGAAUGAAGUUUCUGAAAUAGGCAUCUCCUGGGCAGAGGAAGAAGAGCUUAGGUGCUUGUAGCUGCAGUCACACGUACCUGCUGAAGGGAUCCAGAAGCCCUUUGAGUAAAGCAGCACCAGCUGUCGUUGCCUGGUGGUAACCUGGAGAUCAGCUCCCGCACACAGGGAGGGCAAAAGCUCUGCACACCUCUGACCUGAGGGACCAGGUCCUGGGCACAUGGCAGGUCUUAGAGUGGGUCAGGGGGCCAUAUGUCACACUUGAGGCUGGUUGAGAGCUUUGUCACUGGUGGCUCCUGCCCUUGAUUCCUGCUGAGCAUGAAGUCAGCAAGACCUGGAAGAAACCCCUGAGCUGGAUUUGGUGAUGCUUCCAGGGAGCAAGAGGGGCUAUUGGGCUGCCUUUUGGUGCAUGCAGCCUAGACCACUUGGAUGCGCUGAGGUUAUCUGUGUCACUAGCCAUCGUAACAUGCAAAGGCUGACAAUUUACCUUCAGCAAAUUAGUUCUCAGGCCCUUCUCAUAAUUACCCAUAAAAAGUUCUGUGACCCUACAGGGAAAUGCAUGAUGUCUGGGGGGUUCAUCCACAUGGCCACCUUACCAGAUGGUCAUGGAGAGAGAUGUGGGAUAGGGUGGAUACUGAAGCUGGAAAAACUAGCCAGCCAUGAGGACACAGUUUUCUGCAGGCUCUUUUAAUACCCAGCAGGUCUGAGCCUAAAGUGCUUAUGCUGGUAAGUGUUGUCCACUCGUGCUCUGGAUCUGCAGCCUUUCAGAUACUGUCCUGUGCGUUGGGUGCUUGUGUGAUGGGUGCUUUCUGUCACUGUGUCCUUCAGCCAUUGCUGUACCAGUGUCACAUGCAAUGCUGAUUGCUGCCUAACUCCUUGCUGGUUUGAGACCUCAGGGGAAAAUGGCCUGUACCACAAGGAUAACUCUAGGUGCCCUGGAGCAUUGGAUAUGGUGAAAAGGAAACACAAGGAACUACAUUUGCAGUCACAAAAUCCCAAACAAAUAUGCCUGAAUUUUGCAUCAAAUCUAAAUAAUCUUGCUUUGUCUUGCUAGCCCAUGGAGUCCUAUAGUAGAAAAGUUUAGCAAUUCCUAGCAGAGGGAUAAUUUCGCUUUAUUAUCUUAAAAAGAUAAUUAAGUGCUUAAAAGCCUCUGUGAUCUGGUGAUUUUAUAGUUGCGUGUCCCAAAAGAAACUCCAGUCUCUUCCCAAAGUAGCAUCUAGCCAAUUUCAAUUUAUAAGAAAUAAGGUUUUAUUGAGUGGUUAGAGGAGAAAUGCUUAAUGUUUGUGGGGAGAAAACACACUCAAACACAUGCACUUAUCCUGCCCUGUCCUGGUGGGUUGUGAGGAACUGGGGCUGUGUGAGGCAGCUCAGGGGGGUCGGGCUCGAAGCAGAUGCUGCGCCAGUGACUCUGUGUGUGGCAGGAGGAUCCAUCACAGGUCCUGCAAGACCCAGAUCUUGCAUUUCUAGGUGGUCCUUAGUUGUUGGCCUUCACCCCCUGGCUUUACCUGCUGUGAUCCAUGAAACUGCUUCCCCAGGGCGCUUCAGAUGAGCUGUUGUAGGCUGUGAAGCACUUCCCAGGGUAAUGGUAAUGCAAAGGAGGAGCAUAGGUCUCUAGUGUCCCAGGAAGAGCACACACAGACAUACCUGGUCCUGGCAGGGCUUUGUCCUUUCCUUCCUGCUGCUUUGGAUUGUGGUAGGUGAAGUGGCCCUCUGAUAAAAC